CAUGUACUCCCUCCGUCCGGAAAUACUUGUCAUUGAAAUGGAUGUAUCUAGAUGUAUUUUAGUUCUAGAUACAUCCAUUUUCAUCCAUUUUGAUGACAAGUAUUUCCGGACGGAGGGAGUACAUG
rnacentral:pre_miRNA from 1 species